rnacentral:lncRNA from 1 species
AAGAAAGCUUUGAUCGGUUCUCUACUUCGUGUGGAUACCCGUAGAGGCCGGACGUUUGAACGGCUUCAAACGAACCCUCUUCCAAAACCACGAAUUCAGAUUUGCGGUGAUCAUCUACCCGCGCAAGGUGAAGAUUUGAUCUUCCUAUUAGUUCUAAAAGUUUUAAUUCUUACCUAAUUACGAAAGGUCUCGAAACAAGCGUUCAUGCGAUGAACGUCGAACCCGUGCAUGCCGAUUC